CACGUGUUACAGGCCAUCUGAUGGUCUCUUCUGGGGAGAGAGACCAGUGUCUAUUGUAUUGGUUGGUUGAUUGGUUAAUUGAUUGGUAUAUCUCCCCCAGGUGUGUACACAACCAGGGGCCACUGCCACUGUAAUGACGGCUGGGGACCUCCUUACUGUGCCAAGUCAGGGAGAGGGGGAGUGUGGACAGCGGGCCUGCACAGAUAGAUUAUUCCCUGGGGACGGCCUGCUGAUCUUCUUCCUGCUGGUGGUUCCCAUCCUGGUGCUCCUGGUGUUAGUGCUGCUCUAUGUGUUUAGAAGGGAUACCCUGGAAAGAUGUCUCAAAGGACCACGCUCCAGACGCUCCAGGUAAAAACUGUCUAUCACCACGCUCCGGGUAAACACUGUCUAUCACCACGCUCCAGGUAAACACUGUCUAUCACCACGCUCCAGACGCUCCGGGUAAACACUGUCUAUCACCACGCUCCAGGUAAACACUGUCUAUCACCACGCUCCAGGUAAACACUGUCUAUCACCACGCUCCAGACGCUCCAGGUAAACACUGUCUAUCACCACGCUCCAGGUAAACACUGUCUAUCACCACGCUCAGACGCUCCAGGUAAACACUGUCUAUCACCACGCUCAAGACGCUCCGGGUAAACCCUGUCUAUCACCACGCUCCAGGUAAACACUGUCUAUCACCACGCUCCGGGUAAACACUGUCUAUCACCACGCUCCAGGUAAACACUAUCUAUCACCACGCUCCAGACGCUCCAGGUAAACACUGUCUAUCACCACGCUCCAGACGCUCCAGGUAAACCCAGUCAUGGAU